GCAGCGCGGGGCAACCUGGCGGCGAGUGGCGAACGGGUGAGUAAUAUAUCGGAACGUGCCCUGGAGUGGGGGAUAACGCAGCGAAAGUUGCGCUAAUACCGCAUACGAUCUAAGGAUGAAAGCGGGGGAUUCGCAAGAACCUCGUGCUCCUGGAGCGGCCGAUAUCUGAUUAGCUAGUUGGUGGGGUAAAGGCCUACCAAGGCAUCGAUCAGUAGCUGGUCUGAGAGGACGACCAGCCACACUGGAACUGAGACACGGUCCAGACUCCUACGGGAGGCAGCAGUGGGGAAUUUUGGACAAUGGGCGAAAGCCUGAUCCAGCAAUGCCGCGUGAGUGAAGAAGGCCUUCGGGUUGUAAAGCUCUUUUGUCAGGGAAGAAACGGUGAAGGCUAAUAUCCCUUGCUAAUGACGGUACCUGAAGAAUAAGCACCGGCUAACUACGUGCCAGCAGCCGCGGUAAUACGUAGGGUGCAAGCGUUAAUCGGAAUUACUGGGCGUAAAGCGUGCGCAGGCGGUUUUGUAAGUCUGUCGUGAAACCCCCGGGCUCAACCUGGGAAUUGCGAUGGAGACUGCAAGGCUAGAAUCUGGCAGAGGGGGGUAGAAUUCCACGUGUAGCAGUGAAAUGCGUAGAGAUGUGGAGGAACACCGAUGGCGAAGGCAGCCCCCUGGGUCAAGAUUGACGCUCAUGCACGAAAGCGUGGGGAGCAAACAGGAUUAGAUACCCUGGUAGUCCACGCCCUAAACGAUGUCUACUAGUUGUCGGGUUUUAAUUAACUUGGUAACGCAGCUAACGCGUGAAGUAGACCGCCUGGGGAGUACGGUCGCAAGAUUAAAACUCAAAGGAAUUGACGGGGACCCGCACAAGCGGUGGAUGAUGUGGAUUAAUUCGAUGCAACGCGAAAAACCUUACCUACCCUUGACA
rnacentral:rRNA from 1 species